CGUAGGGGCAAGCGUUGUCCGGAAUCAUUGGGCGUAAAGCGCGUGUAGGCGGGUCGUUAAGUCUGCUCUGAAAGUCCAAGGCUCAACCUUGGGAUGCGGGUGGAUACUGGCGACCUCGAGUCCGGAAGAGGCGGUGGAAUUCCUGGUGUAGCGGUGAAAUGCGCAGAUAUCAGGAGGAACACCAAUGGCGAAGGCAGCCCGCUGGGACGUGACUGACGCUGAGACGCGAAAGCGUGGGGGAGCAAACAGGAUU
rnacentral:rRNA from 1 species